GGCGAACGCUGGCGGCGUGCCUAAUACAUGCAAGUCGAGCGGACCUUCGGGGUUAGCGGCGGACGGGUGAGUUAACACGUGGGUAAUCUGCCCAACUGACUGGAUAACGCUGGAAACGGUGCUAAUGCCGGAUAGGCAACUGGUAGGCAUCUACCGGUUGGAAAGGUGCAACUGCACCGCAGAUGGAGGAGCCCGCGGCGCAUUAGCUAGUUGGUGGGGUAACGGCCUACCAAGGCGACGAUGCGUAGCCGACCUGAGAGGGUGGACGGCCACACUGGGACUGAGACACGGCCCAGACUCCUACGGGAGGCAGCAGUAGGGAAUCUUCCGCAAUGGGCGCAAGCCUGACGGAGCAACGCCGCGUGAGCGAAGAAGGCCUUCGGGUUGUAAAGCUCAGUCACUCGGGAAGAGCGGAUGAGGGAGUGGAAAGCCCUCGUCGAGACGGUACCGAGAGAGGAAGCCCCGGCUAACUACGUG
rnacentral:rRNA from 1 species